AGAGAGCUUGCUCUCGGGUGACGAGCGGCGGACGGGUGAGUAAUGUCUGGGAAACUGCCUGAUGGAGGGGGAUAACUACUGGAAACGGUAGCUAAUACCGCAUAACGUCGCAAGACCAAAGUGGGGGACCUUCGGGCCUCAUGCCAUCAGAUGUGCCCAGAUGGGAUUAGCUAGUAGGUGGGGUAAUGGCUCACCUAGGCGACGAUCCCUAGCUGGUCUGAGAGGAUGACCAGCCACACUGGAACUGAGACACGGUCCAGACUCCUACGGGAGGCAGCAGUGGGGAAUAUUGCACAAUGGGCGCAAGCCUGAUGCAGCCAUGCCGCGUGUGUGAAGAAGGCCUUCGGGUUGUAAAGCACUUUCAGCGGGGAGGAAGGCGUUAAGGUUAAUAACCUUGGCGAUUGACGUUACCCGCAGAAGAAGCACCGGCUAACUCCGUGCCAGCAGCCGCGGUAAUACGGAGGGUGCAAGCGUUAAUCGGAAUUACUGGGCGUAAAGCGCACGCAGGCGGUCUGUCAAGUCGGAUGUGAAAUCCCCGGGCUCAACCUGGGAACUGCAUUCGAAACUGGCAGGCUAGAGUCUUGUAGAGGGGGGUAGAAUUCCAGGUGUAGCGGUGAAAUGCGUAGAGAUCUGGAGGA
rnacentral:rRNA from 1 species